GGAAAAAAUACUGUCAUUGAUGCUAUUCAGCUUCUUAAUUGUUGGCAUAGUGGAUGCUAAGUGUCCACCUGGCAUGAAAUUAUGCGGCACGACAAUCUUGUUCGAUCUAUGUUGUCCACUACCUAUGGGUGUUUGUUGCUCAGAUCUUGUUCAUUGCUGUCCUCACGGCUACGAGUGUGAUUUGGACCACCAAAGGUGCAACAAAAAGAAUAAUACCCAACAGGAGAGGCCUGUUGUUGGAGCUAAAUUUGGUCUGAAGCAAUGCGGAGGAAGUGUCUGGUGUGCCCAGAAUGAUGAUUGCUGCAAGGGCGAAAAUGGUGCAUGGCAAUGUUGCAGACACUUUUCUAAAAACUAUGUUUAUGGAUUACAACUGUAAAGAAGAAAAAGGAAGAUUGAUGUGAUAAUAAGUCUUUGUAAAUAUUUGAUGUUUUUUUAAGCAUAAGUGUCACUUAGGAAUACUUUGUGCAUGUCUACUAGCAUUAAGUUAUAAUUUUAAUCAAAAUUAUAACAAAUCUGAUUAUUUGAUCUAUAGUUUGCUGUAUUCACUUUUCAAAUAAUAAAAUAUUUUCAUAAUUUCUAA